AAGAGACUUGGCUGCAGAUGGUCCCUGGGAAGUUCGCGGGCGGCCCCAUCCUGUGUCUGAGCCUCGCAGCUGUGCAGGUGGUGUUUGAAGAUGUGCAGCUGGUGAUUUGGGUGCAAAAUAUGGAGUUGAGGACAGAGCACUAUUGGCUUUUGUGGGCAGGACCAGGGAUGCUAAACAUCUUGUACUGCUUUGGAUGGAGGCACAUGAGAAGACUCGUGCUGCUCAUACUGUCCUGAAGAUAUUGUCUCUGUUGAGAAAUCCUGAAGAAUCUCCAAGGCCAGGAUUUUACAGUUUCGGAAUCCACUGGUUUCCUCUGCAGCCGUUUAAGAGAAUCUUUGCAGCACCGAAUUACAGACCUCGCUCUUUCAAAUGCAAGUCCUUAUCCUCUUUCUCUUGAACCUCACAGAUCUGUGUGCAUUUCAAGUUGUUCAUAGCUCGGGAAGGUAAUCUAUUUGAUUUGGGCUUGUAAAAAGAGAGAAAAUUACAUGCACUUCUUGAAUAACAAUAUGUGAUUUCUCUCUCUGAAGAGUCAAUAGGAAUUAGCCUACAUAUAUCAUUUUAGGAAACCGGUUCCUAAUCACAUGAAUAACGGGGACCAAGUCCACAUUUUUUCUGCUGAAAGAGGAACAUGAAGUGAACAUCAAAAUCUCUUGAAGAAAUCGCAGGCGUCUCAGUACUAAUUUUACUCAGGCAUUAAAGCCUUGCCAAUAGUUUUCAGGUGCAUCAGCUACUCCCCAACAAAGGCAAUUCAGCUUCCACAAUUUCAGAGAAUCCUCCUCGCUGCUAUCUUCCUCUCUCUCGUCGUAGCCAUCUCUUCUUCCUGUCCCCCCACGGAAGUGCCCCUACACUGUCCUCGGAGUGUCCCUGCCAAUGCAGAGAUCCACAAAGCAACAAUGUGGGAAGCUGUUAGCUCACCUGCAGAAGAACCCACUUCUCAGACUCCUGGGGGGAGAAGCCUCCUGGCCCCCAGGCUGAGCUGCGGGGGUGGCAGGAGACGAAGAGAGAGGAGACAGCUGGCUUCAGGCCACCACGGACGGGUGAAUGGUCCCACUGAGUGUGGAAGCCAAGAGGUGGGUCUUCCCACCAGAACCUUGCGUCCUGAGAGCAGAGGGGGGGUAGUCACCAGAGAAACGCCGGGGACUGGAUGCAGGCAGGCGAAACAACACACCACAGCCUCCAGCUAGAGCUGGUGGAGCCAGGUACACACCCAGUAACGUCCCGCCUUCCAAUUUCUAGAUAAAGCUGAAGAAGAGACACAGAAAGUGGAUAGGACCAUCCCCCCCAAGACAAAUUAUUGAAACCCAUCACCUAAUCUACAUAAGCCAAGCUCCCAGGAAUUAAAAAAGCAAGUGGUCUCACUGAACUGUAAAAACCAAGGAAGAGGAAGCUCUGCCUUCACCUCUGGGCACAGGUGUGGUCCAGCAAGAGGUGGGCCACCUCACUGCUGACCGCAAAGGGGGAAACCAGGACCACGUAUUGGAAGGGAAGGAGCAAACGUUUCGCAUUAGCAGAUCCAGCUACCAACUAGCCAUGUGAAUUUGGACAAGGUCACCUUCUUGGGCUUCCAAAAUAGAGUUGAUCAAAAGCUCUUUCAGACUCUGAUGUGCUUUGAGGCUGUAAUUCAUAAUUCAGCUCAAGGUCUUCAUGGCUCUCCUAAAGCCUCUUGCAAAGCAAACCUCCAGCUCACCCAACUCCUAUUUCUCUCUCUGUCUGAAUUAAUAACUGUCCUCAUGCUGCCCCCGUUGGGUCCUGAGAACGCUCCUGUUAGGACACCUAGAACACCACUGCUUUUCUUUCUUUCUUUCUUUGCAUCUCUCUCUCUCCACUAGCUCUUCAAUGCCCCGCCCUCAAAGGGAGGUACCAAUGUCAGGUUUUUUCUUUGAAUCUCCAGGGUUUAACGCUGUACCUGACACUCACUUACUAGAUGUUCAAUAAAUGUCUGUUGUUGAAUGAAUGGAAAGGGAGGAUAUAAAAAUAGAGAAGAACGAGCCCGAGCCAAUUCAAAGCUCAAGAGCCAGCUUUUGCUAAAAGCCAUAUAUUCUGCCCAUAAGAUCUUGGACUUCUUGGAAUUAAAAAGAGAGAAGAGGGAAUUUUAGAAAUUAUAGCAAUAAUUUUCAGACCUCACAGUUUCUAAUACCCUAUGUCUCCACUGAGAUAUGCCAAUUUCACAGGAUUUUAGAAAUACUAGAGUUUUACCUAGCCUUUAUGGAAUGUCUUAUAUUUGUAAAAACCUAGUAUAAAAUUGCUGAGUAGGAAUUUCCAGAUCCCUUACUUCCUGACUUCAUGCCUCUUUAAGCUGUUCUCGGGGAGAAAAAAAAAAUCAGAAAGUUUAAAACUGACUACGUCUUGUCUUCAUAAACUUUGAUCCUUUCACUUAUUUAAAAUUCAUAACCACGCUGGCCUAAUAAUUAGAAUUGCUAAAGUACGUAGGGAAGGCCAUGAGGGAUGAACCCCCUGGUCUGUCUAGCCAGGUCACCAGAAAUGGUGAACCCUUGCUGGUAUGGUGCUGGGAGGAAAAGAGGGGGCUGAGGCUGCCAGCAGAGGUGGCCCAGAGCAUGACAGACCCAAGCUGGUCCAGUUCCAGGAGUUUGGAUUUGAGGGGACUGAGAUCCGGUGCAGCGUCAAAACUUUUGGGCAGCGGCCAACUGUUUGAUGAGCUUUGGCCUCAUCAGGGAGGACCACGCACGAGUGAUUCCAGACUCAGGAAAGGGGUCAAAAGGAAAAGGGAAACACAGUUGACUGUGCCUCUUCCUUGUACCAGGCCUGCUGCUGAACGGAUGCUUCCGCAGGGCGGGGGCAGGGAGAUGCUGUCCCCAGAAGUGUGGGUUCGCCAGUGGUGUCCCCGAGGGAUACUGAAUGAGGGUUUCUUCCAGAAUGUUGCCCACAAGCAAGAACAAAGUACGUCUCCAACUUCAGUGUGGUGAUGUGCGAUGUAUGGUUCAUCCAUCCAUUUGUCUAAGCAAUCUGAGUAGCCAAUGUCAUGAACUCAAUUAUUUUUAGUUUUUCUGUUCACUGUGUAAAGAAGUGAGUCCCUUUGGCCCUCAUGAGUGCUGUCCUGAGACCGGAGAAAAGCAUACCAUGAGACCAUGAUACGACCAGAGGUGUAAUGACAAUAAUAAACCUUAUUUGAACCAAAAAGAGCAGGGUUUUGGUAGGCUCCCAGGGGUCUUAUCUAAGGGGUGCACAAGGGGAAGGCCCUGGGAGGUGGGAGAGACUAUUUAUCACAGGGCUGCCGGAGGAGUUAUAUCAGGAGCUCACAUUUGCUGUGACUCUGCAGGCUGUUAUCUAGGGCAUGUGCUUGAUAACAUGAGGGGCUGGCAUCAGUUUAAGUACCCCACAGGCCUCUUGGCCAAACACAUUGGAUGCUGAAGCAGCAAUACCAUGGAGUAGCUUAGCUAAACUCUCGACCAUACCUUAUUGUAAAACUUUAAGGAAAGGCAAGGGGUUAAGCUAAAUUUUAGGAUAAUGUUGAGGAGUCAGAAGGAGAAACAGAGGGAGAAAUGUGAUUAGGGCGAGACACCCAGAGGGCUUCAAAGGUACCAGAAUAAUCUGACUUUAAAUGGAGAGGUGAGAAAUGCUGGUGUUCAUUUGAUCAUUAUUCUUUAAACUGUGCAUUUAUGUUUUUAUACCCUGAUUUGUAUGUAUGACAUAUUUUAAAAUAAAAGGCAUUUAAUUCCCUCCCAAAAACUAAAGACCCAGAGCCUGAAUGAAAGCAACUGAUCAAGAACUAAAAAAAGUUGCCAAAAUAAGGCCACUAAGACAUUAAGUGAAAAUUUAAUCUCUUUCUCUCUCUCUCUUUCUCUCUCUCUCUCUGCCUUCACUGGUAAAAUUUUUGCUGACUGGAAAAAUCUCUGUGGGAGUGAGAAGCAUUAGAACUUAUCUAUGAAUUACAUUUGAGGGAAAAUACUUUUUCCCCUCCCUUCCCAUCCUGCUUGUCAGGGCAGGAUUGAUUCAGCACACGUUCUUUUCCAAAGUUGAAAGGUUAAAAAUAAUGCCCACCCUCUGGAAGCCAUUGGACAGAAGCCGGCUUGACGUCAGAAUGUGUUCAGCUGGGCUGUCCCGCUGUCCUGCCCUCGGCGGCUGCCUUUCCCUGGGUUUGUCCGAGGCUCUCCAUUAUGCUCUGUGCACCAGCUCAAUACUUCUUAUUUUGCUUCACUCUUUACAUGCCUUGAAUAGCUCUUUUAUUUUUUUUGCUGAGCCCUGGCUUAGCCAAAUUCCUUAUAUUUGGUUUCUUUGAUCUUUCUGAUCAAAUUAUUUUCUGUUCCACUCCUCUGAGCCCCUUCCAGUUCCCUCUAUUUCUCAAGAAGCCAGGUGUUUAAUAAAGAAUCUGAAUGAGGCUCAGGCAGAAUCGGGUGUGUGCAGCUGCUUGCCCCCAGGUCACUUGCUGCUUUCUCCUUAAGCAACGAAGAUGGUUUUCUAAAGGCAUGUGACAUUCCGGAGACACCACAGUGCCCUGCACAUGGCAAGUGCUCAGUAAUUACUGAGUGGAGGAACUAAUCAGGAUCUCUUUUAAAUGAGCUAGCCUAUAUUCCAACUUACACUUAACCUGUUGCCCCAUCCCACCCUCAGACCAGCUUUCUUUCUGCUCUCAGGUUUUCCUUUCCAGUCUAAUAGUUAUUUCAUACCUUAUUUCCUUGAUGCUUUAGUUUACACAUUUUUAAAUUCAAUUUUCUUUUGUUUCCUGCUCAUAUAUUUAACCUCAUUAGUUUCAUUCAUGUCGUAGGAUUUUGCUAGUAACUUUGUUUACCAGAUUAGCAUUAUUUCUAAAUUAUUGUUUUACCCAUUUCUCUAAAUAACUGAAAAUCACGUUCAUAUUGUCUUAUUAAUUUCUCUUUAUUAGAAAGUAGACUUUGCUUACAUAUUUAUGACUUUUCAGUGUUUUUCUAAUUGGCCACAGCGCAAAGUUCAUCAUAUCUUAUGAUUCUGACACAGGUUUGGGUUAAGAGUAAAGAUCAUUGUCUUAAAAUGAUAUGAUGUCUGGGAUUUGCUUCAAAAUAAUCUAGUAGAAGGAUUAUAGGUGAAACAAGAUUACCGUGGGUUGAUCGUUGGCCGAGCUGGGUGAUGGAUACAUGGGGUUCAUUGUACUAUUCAAUUAUGUAAAUGUUUGAAGUGUUUCCACAAUAAAAAGUUUUUAAAAAAAUAAAAAUAUAGAUAUAUAAAUAAAAGUUGAUCCAAUGGAUUAUCUUAAGAUACACAGAGAGGGAAUGCCCCCAUCAUUCUCCAACCUUCCCUGUCAUUGUUACCUACUGGAAGUUCAGCCAAUCCUCUGCAUUCAUUGUGAAGUUUAGCACUUGCUCCUCCCCUUCCUUUCUUUCCAAACUCUUGUUCUCACCUGGGAGAUUUCCUUGUGCUGGUGUGUGGCUCUUCCAACACCUCACAUCUGCAAUGCUAAUCGUCUGCACCUUCACGCCCUUUCAGCAGCCCACUAUCCUAUCCCUUGAUUUAAAUGGUUUCUUACAUGAUGCAAAUCUCUAUCUGCUUACUGUCUAGCACUUUGGCUAAGGCCUUCAGGUUAUGUUUUGAUACAGAAUUUACUUUUUCUCAACAUCAGUCAACACAUAAAACACAUGUAUAAUCCAGCCAUUUCUGGCUUAAAAUCUUUCAGGUCUCUCUCUGAACUUCAAAUUCAAGUCCAGUAACCUUCACAUCCAGUUCAUGCUUUCCCACCAUUUCCAGCCUCUUUCUCUACCAUCCUCCAAUAUUCACUCUCUUUUCCAGUUAUAUUAAAGUGUCUCAUUUGUGAGUAACAGAUCAUGCUUUCUUAACCUCUCUAAACUUUGACCAUAGUGUUCUCUGAGAUUCAGAUGUCCUUCUGUCAUUCGGCCUCCGGAGGACUUCAGCAACUUUUGUUUAUACCUCAAGAUUCAAUUCAAGCAUCACUCCUUUUGGAGGACUUCCCUGAGCUGUUCACAUUGAGUUAAAUGCCCCUGCCAAUACUUUUUUCCAUUACGCUCUUUGACUACACCCACCCUAAUACUCUGAAACCCAACUGUAAUCACUGAUGUUCUUCUUUUCCUUUCUAGACUGUGAGCUGUUUGACCUCUUCCAACUCUUUCUUUCCAAAGCCCAAUCCAGUGCCUGGCACAGGUAUUUCAAUGAAUGACUAACUGAAUGAACAGAGGAAUGGAAAAAUGAAUGCUAUUGUCUUCUUGAGGUAGCACCUCCCUACCCAAGGGCCUUCUCUAGAGGUCUGGGUCAAUGCUCUUGGUCCUGGGCAGCCCCUUCAGGCUUUGCCUCCUAACUGCCUUCUUCAACCUACCUGACCCACCUGGUUCUAGCUGUAACCCAACUGUCCCUUUCUCUACUGAGUCCUUCAUACUUGGUGCUCCAUCUAGACAAGUGUUGCCCAAAGUGUGAUACCCAAUAAUUUUUAGGUGAUACUCAGACAAAUGUAUUUUGACAGUCUUGUAUUUACAUUCAUAUAUCUGGCAGCAGAGAAUGAGCACAUAAAACCUGUAAUUUCAUAGAGAAUAUUGCUCAGGAUGAGACAAAUGUAGUAGUGCCAUGGUAAUCAACUUUACCUGGACCUCAUAAAUCAGGGGUGGGAUGCUCAGGUAUAAUCAUAAGUGUUCCAAGCCCUCAAUAACUGAACCAUUAGAAGCACAGACAGCCAGGACUCACACCAAUAGGGAAGAACUCCCAUUCACUGAAUUCUCCAGGCACCUCUGUUUUAUUCAGUGAUAUGUUGAAAUAUCACUUCCUGAAGUUGAGUAUGUAUAUAUACAUUUAAAUAAUACAGAUAAAACAGUAAAUAUCUUUUGAGCUAUCUAAAUAUAUCCUCAUGGGAGUUCAGCUUUUUAGUGGGUUAAUAUAGAAACUGACAGAUUUGUCUCAUUGAUGUAGAUCCUCAUCUUUGUCUGAAACUAUCAAUUAGGAUUUCUAGCUAUUUUGAUCCAAAAGUUCCAUUGUCAUCAACAAGAAACUUAUAUUCAGCCAUACAUUUUAUACAUUUUGAUUUAUUAUAUUUUUCAUUUUUCAUUUCUAAAAGUUUAAUAACUUUGUUUUUUAUAGAAUUUACUAUAUUUCAUCAAAUCUAAUAUACCACUGAUAAGUAAAACACAUCAUUAUUUCAUGUGCUACUAAAAUAUGAUGAU